GAUGAACGCUGGCGGCGUGCUUAACACAUGCAAGUCGAACGAAGAUGCCGGAGUGCUUGCACUUUGGCAGACUGAGUGGCGGACGGGUGAGUAACGCGUGGGUAACCUGCCUUAUACAGGGGGAUAACAGUUGGAAACGACUGCUAAUACCGCAUAAGCGCACGGUAUCGCAUGAUACAGUGUGAAAAACUCCGGUGGUAUAAGAUGGACCCGCGUCUGAUUAGCUUGUUGGUGAGGUAACGGCCCACCAAGGCGACGAUCAGUAGCCGGCCUGAGAGGGCGACCGGCCACAUUGGGACUGAGACACGGCCCAAAACUCCUACGGGAGGCAGCAGUGGGGAAUAUUGCACAAUGGGGGAAACCCUGAUGCAGCGACGCCGCGUGAAGGAAGAAGUAUUCGGUAUGUAAACUUCUAUCAGCAGGGAAGAAAAUGACGGUACCUGACUAAGAAGCCCCGGCUAACUACGUG
rnacentral:rRNA from 1 species